UUCUUGAUCGUAUAACGGUUAGUAUGCUCGCUUGUCACUGCAUCUGCAUGAUCGCGGGAGAUCGGAGUUCGAUUCUCCGUCAGGAAG
rnacentral:tRNA from 1 species